rnacentral:rRNA from 1 species
GACGAACCGUGCGAACGUUGUUCGGAAUCAUUGGGCUUAAAGGGCGCGUAGGCGGGCCCGCAAGUCAGGGGUGAAAUCCCACGGCUCAACCGUGGAAGUGCCUCUGAUACUGCGGGCCUCGAGGGGGGGUAGGGGCGUGCGGAACUUCCGGUGGAGCGGUGAAAUGCGUAGAUAUCGGAAGGAACACCGGUGGCGAAAGCGGCGCGCUGGACCCCUUCUGACGCUGAGGCGCGAAAGCCAGGGGAGCAAACGGG